UUAUAAUUAUAAUUAAAGUAGGGGAUUUAAAUUUUAUUUAAACCUUAUGUCUUAAGAUGAGCUCAGAUAGGAUUAGUUAGUAGGUAAGGUAAAGGCUUACCUAGACAAUGAUCCUUAGUUGGUCUGAGAGGAUGACCAGCCACACUGGAACUGAGAUACGGUCCAGACUCCUACGGGAGGCAGCAGUGGGGAAUAUUGCACAAUGGGGGAAACCCUGAUGCAGCUAUGCCGCGUGUAUGAAGAAGACUUUAGAGUUGUAAAAUACUUUCAGUAAGGAAGAAGAUAUAUAUAAUAAUACUAUAUUUAUUUGACGUUACUUACAAAAGAAGCAUCGGCUAACUCCGUGCCAGCAGCCGCGGUAAUACGGGGGAUGCAAGCGUUAAUCGGAAUUACUGGGCGUAAAGAGCAUGUAGGUGGUUUAUUAUGUCAGGUGUGAAAUCCCUGAGCUUAACUUAGGAAUUGCAUUUGAAACUGAUUAACUAGAGUAUCGUAGAGGAAGGUGGAAUUCCAGGUGUAGCGGUGAAAUGCGUAGAUAUCUGGAGGAAUAUCAGUGGCGAAGGCGGCCUUCUGGACGAAUACUGACACUAAAGUGCGAAAGCAUGGGGAGCAAACAGGAUUAGAUACCCUGGUAGUCCAUGCUGUAAACGAUGUCAACUUGAAGGUUGUAAUGUUUUAAUUAUGACUUUCGUAGCUAACGCGUUAAGUUGACCGCCUGGGGAGUACGACCGCAAGGUUAAAACUCAAAUGAAUUGACGGGGGCCCGCACAAGCGGUGGAGCAUGUGGUUUAAUUCGAUGCAACGCGAAAAACCUUACCUGGUCUUGACAUCCAAUGAAUUUUACAGAAAUGUAGAAGUGCUUUUUAAAAAGAACAUUGAGACAGGUGCUGCAUGGCUGUCGUCAGCUCGUGUUGUGAAAUGUUGGGUUAAGUCCUAUAACGAGCGCAACCCCUAUUCUUUGUUGCCAUCAGGUAAUGCUGGGAACUCAAAGAAGACUGCCAGUGAUAAACUGGAGGAAGGUGGGGAUGACGUCAAGUCAUCAUGG
rnacentral:rRNA from 13 species